rnacentral:tRNA from 12 species
CUGGUGACUCCCAACCACCCUUAAUGA